UCUCCCUUAGUUCAGUUGGUAGAAAGAUGGACUGUUAAUCCAUGUGUCGCAGAUUCGAGUCCUGCAGGGAGAGCCA
rnacentral:tRNA from 1 species